rnacentral:lncRNA from 1 species
UGGAGAGCAUAAACUACACUGAGUUAUUAACAGAAAUCCAUGCAAAAUUUACCAGUAAACAAACUUAUUCUUCAGAUUAAAAACUCUCUAUUAUGUAUGCUCAAUGUGAACAUUCCAACAUGGCGAUCUCUUUUGAAAGAAAAACUAGUCUGAACGCUAAUAGAAGUUGAAGUUCAGAAUACAAUGAGCAAAGUUAACUGGAAAAUCAUGGCCCUAUCACAUUCUUAGUCAUGCUAGAAUUUGUGGAAUAUCUAUCUGAGUCACACAGCUUAGUUGACUUCUAAACUAACUGUCGAUUAAAUACAAAAUUUACAUUUAUAAGGGCCUGGAACAUGGAACAUAUGGGACAUGAACUAUGACCAAGUUGAAAGGUGCUGCUACCAUUGUUGACAACAAUGCUCAUUCAUCUGCGUAAGAUAUAGCGAACAUUCAACAUGGAAGAAAAAUCAGUUCCUUCACUUGUUCUACUCAUUAGAAGGUUUAUCAAGCUAUACAUGCUUGAGCCCACUUUUAUCUUUCUAGACAAAAGACAAAUUGCAAAUCAGACGAUUGCUAUGGUCCCUUUUUAAAAUGGUUAUGACUGCAUGUUGUGCAUUUUCAGGCUACACAACGUUUGGACUUUUUAAAAUUUAUGUCCACAGCAAAAAUUUAUGCUGUGGACAGAAAUUUAUGUUGAAAAAAGGUACUAUAAAUUUAUACUUUUUAUGUCAACAUAAACUUAUGUCAAAUUUAUAAGGGCCUGGAACAUGGAACUUAUGGGACAUGAACUAUGACCAAGUUGAAAGGUGCUGCUACCAUUGUUGACA